UCUCUCUCCUCCCCCCGCAUUUUCCUUUUCUUUUUUGUUUUUUCCCUCACUGUUAGAUCUCAGGUAUUAUAUAUAGUUAUCUAGUAUCUACAUUAUACAGCACACUCACACAUAUAGAUUCGAGGUGUUAUUAUAUAUAUAUUUGAAGUUUCUCAGACUAAGCACUUGAGCAAAAUUUGGAUCCUAUCUUUAACUAUUUGAUUCAAAUACUUUUCCCUUAUGGCCACUUUCCUAUUUGAGUUUCCCAAGUAGGUUUCACUCGUCACAGGAUAGCUUCUUUGAUUUGAUUCUUGCCUGCGUUUCUUCUUCUUCUUCUUUCACACAGCCACACAUCUGGAUUUGAGUCUCGUUUGCUUUAGUAGUUUUCUUUGAUCUCUUGAGGUUCUGAAAGUAUAUAAGUAUUUUAUGUUCUUUUUGGACAAGUUGUUUUUCUUUUUACAGUUUUUUUAAGGGUUUUUCCUUCUUUUUUUCUCUCAAGGAAUGAGUUCAGCUCAUCAGAGUGCUAGAUUCCUUACUGCAAAAUAAAAUUUGAUGAUGUAGCAGAAUCAAUUUUUUUUUUCUGUCCACUCGAACCUUUGUAAACCCUUCUAUCGUUCAUUCUCAAGUUAAAAUCAAUUUUAAUGAGAUGUUUCUGUGAACAACAUCUAGGUUUCAAAAUUAAUUCUAGUAAAAGAGAAUCUGAUCCAAUCAUGCUAUAAGUUGAUUCUGUGUGUAGGUGCAACUUUUAAACCAUUUUGUAUAGUUGAUUCUAAAGUCAAAUUCAAUUUUUGGAAGAAACUUUUAUGAAUAGUUUCUAGGCAUUCGGAUCUUAUUCUGAUAGAAGACAAACUGAUCUAAACAUAUAUAUGCUAUAAGUUUUUUUUUUCAUACUUUUCAUGAGAUUGUAGCUUCUAUGUAGACUUUAUUUAAAGGAGCUAGUUGCAUGGAGGAUGGUCGUUAUUUGCAGAUGUAGCAUCAUCAAGAUUCACAUGCAAAUGCAAAUGCAAUCUAAGGCCAAGCCAUAGAUCUUUUGAAGUGAGAAUCUUGAUGAUGCUGCAUCAGCCAUGAACGGCUUUGAGAAGUACUAUUUUAACCCCUAAAAAAUUGGCAAAUGCAAACACACUAUUGGGGAUGCACACACCCCAAACCUUCAGACACUGUCCCUGAUCUGCACAUUUCAACAAGAGGUGUGACACCCUUUCCUUUUCUUUUUGUUGGUGUCAGGUGAGUAAAAAUCUUUUGUUUAAUUUUAUUUUUUUGUAGUGGGAUUUUUUUUUAUUGGCACAUUUGUGGAUACUUACACAGGGUAUGGCCUUGUGAAUUGUGAUGCUUCUUUCUUUCUUUAUAUUAUUAACUAUUAUUAUGCAUUAAUUAGCUCUUCUGAGUUUUUCAGACAAUACUAGGUUAUCAAACACAUAGGCUAUUUGGAUUGGCUGCUAGGUCCUUUAUGUGCUGACUUCAUAGAUCUAUGAAUAUUCCUUUUCAACAGAAAUGCUGUGCUGGGAUGUAAAUGGUGUCUUUUCAGUUUCUAAAUAUAGAUGGAGAUAUGACUUUAUCCAAAUCUAGAGAGAAUGGUAUAUUAUAGAGACAGCACAGGGAGAUGAAAUCUCUAAACAACUUCAUCAAAGCCAGCAAUUUGGAGCCAAUAAUUGAAUAUGAAUGUUGUUCCAAGUGGGUUACAAUCUCAGAGAUGAAGCAGAUUAUUGAAAAUUGAAGCUGGCUUGGGAAUACAAAACCAGGGACAUGACAAUGGGCAUUGUCUUAGUUCCAUGAUCUUGGCUUUGGCUCUGGUUGGUGGACCAAAAAGAGUCUUGCAAGUUGGACCCUCAUAGCCUCAGUUCUCUCAUGCUGCCGAAGACACUCCAAUGUUCACCAAUGCUCUUUAUGUUGCCUGUCACACCCUUGUUUGGCCAAUUGAUCUCCCGCCAGUUGAUUCAUCACUUUAUACUCAUGUUUCUCUUUCACACAGUUCACUUUGGCCCUAAGAUAAUCAAUAAGAUUUUAACUAUUAGAUAAUUUUCAGGGCCUAGCAGAAUUGCUAUUCGCCCACCCUACCUCGAGGGAUGAAUUAUUUUAGUUUCCAUGACUAUAUACUGGAAAUUGAAUUGGUCACAUAAGAGAAAGGCAUGUAAAAUCAAGGAAAUUUCAACUUUACAAUGCCCAAUUGAUUUAGAAAA